GAUGAACGCUGGCGGCGUGCUUAACACAUGCAAGUCGAACGAAGCACUUUAUUUGAUUUCCUUCGGGACUGAUUAUUUUGUGACUGAGUGGCGGACGGGUGAGUAACGCGUGGGUAACCUGCCUUGUACAGGGGGAUAACAGUUGGAAACGGCUGCUAAUACCGCAUAAGCGCACAGCAUCGCAUGAUGCAGUGUGAAAAACUCCGGUGGUAUAAGAUGGACCCGCGUUGGAUUAGCUAGUUGGUGAGGUAACGGCCCACCAAGGCGACGAUCCAUAGCCGACCUGAGAGGGUGACCGGCCACAGUGAGACUGAGACACGGCCCAAACUCCUACGGGAGGCAGCAGUGGGGAAUAUUGCACAAUGGGCGAAAGCCUGAUGCAGCGACGCCGCGUGAGCGAAGAAGUAUUUCGGUAUGUAAAGCUCUAUCAGCAGGGAAGAUAAUGGCGGUACCUGACUAAGAAGCACCGGCUAAAUACGUG
rnacentral:rRNA from 1 species